GGGGCAGCCGGGGCGGAAGGGGCUUGUUCAUUAUUUUGAGAGUUUGUUGUGAACGUCAUAACCUUUCGUCCUUAAAUAUUGCCGAUACUUGACCUACGCAAGAGACAAUGUCAUGUGAUUCAGCCUAAUAUCUCAAUGUAAUAAGGACUUAUGAACAGAAGACAUGUCUGUGUGCCAGGCAGCUGUGAGACAAAAUCGUGGAUCUCCGCACUGUAAACCCCCAGACCCAGGACUUACAUAACCUAGGGAAAUGUUGUUUCAGAAGGGAUGUGUAGGACAGUUGAAGUACAAGAACAUCAAGGUCAUUUCACCCAAGGGCAGAAUUUAUGGAGGAUGCAGCAUUCAAGGUUCUAUCUUGGAAGCAGAGACUGUGCCCUCACCAGAUGCUGAACCUGCUGAGCACCCUGAUCUUCCACUUCACCUUCAUCAGAACUACUGGGGCUGUGGCUGAGAUGUCACAUGGCAGAUAGGAUCACAAAUUUCUGUUGUAUCUGGAUGGAGAUCAGCAGGAGGAUCUAUGGACUGCUGUGAUUGCACCUGCCAUCUUAUGCAGAAAUGACCUGAAGACAGACUGAAACAACGUGUUCUACAGCCUGAAAAUAUCUACCUUGACUUACAGUUUUAUUAAUGCUGGUGUGAUCAGACUGGACAAAAAUUAGCAUAUGUUAUUAACUGAUCUAAUUCAAGUGCCAAUUCUUAAUAGAAACACAAAACAAUAAAAGCAAUUCAGAAAA
ensembl:lncRNA LINC00882 long intergenic non-protein coding RNA 882